rnacentral:rRNA from 1 species
CCUACGGGAGGCAGCAGUGGGGGAUAUUGCACAAUGGGGGAAACCCUGAUGCAGCGACGCCGCGUGUGGGAAGACGGUCCUCUGGAUUGUAAACCACUGUCCCCAGGGACGAAGAUGACGGUACCUGGGGAGGAAGCUCCGGCUAACUACGUGCCAGCAGCCGCGGUAAUCCGUAGGGCGCGAGCGUUGUCCGAAAUUACUGGUGGUAAAGGGAGCGUAGGCGGGGAUGCAAGUUGUGGGUAAAAACUACCGGAUAAACGGGUAGGAGCAUUCAAAACUGCAGCUCUAGAGUGAAGUAGAGGCAGGCGGAAUGGCUAGUGUAGCGGUGAAAUGCGUAGAGAUUAGGAGGAACACCAGUUGCGAAGGCGGCCUGCUGGGCUUUUACUGACGCUGAGGCUCGAAAGUGUGGGGAGCAAACAGGAUUAGAUACCCUAGUAGUC